UACGUAGGGUGCGAGCGUUACUCGGAAUCAUUGGGCGUAAAGCGCAUGUAGGCGGCUAUGUAAGUCUGAUGUGAAAGCCCUGGACUCAAUCCAGGAAGUGCAUUGGAUACUGCAUGGCUAGAGUAUAGGAGAGGUGGACGGAAUUCCUGGUGUAGAGGUGAAAUUCGUAGAUAUCAGGAGGAACAACAGAAGCGAAGGCGGUUCACUGGACUAUUACUGACGCUGAGAUGCGAAAGUGUGGGGAGCAAACAGGAUUAGAAACCCGGGUAGU
rnacentral:rRNA from 1 species